CGGGAGUUCAGGGAGCGCUGCGGACUGCAGGACAUUUAAACUGCUCGAGGACGUUCUUUUCCUACCUCUGCAUUUGAUUUAUAGAAAUGCAUGCUGCACCAUCCAGGUGCAUCCAAGGGAGAAUCAGAAGUGAAGGAACUGUCACAGACUCAGUCUUGCACAAACCAUUGCAAUCUCUAUUCUGCACUGUCCUUCAGUUUCCUGAGGAAGCAAAAAUUCCUCAGGAUUGAAGAGCAUGACCAUGCA
rnacentral:lncRNA from 1 species